AUUCAGAGGGCUUUGAGGCAAUGGCUGACAUCACGAUAGAUCUAACAGGAUCUAAUCAGGAAAUAUCUGUGUUUCUCCAUUCCAGAACACAUCCUGUGAGUAUCUCAGCUGGUGUGACUUUGUGAGUAAAGAAAGUCUGACUUGAACAAGUUCAGCGUUUGCCUGGAAGGACUGCUUAGAGUCACAGCAGCACUGUUCAUCAAGGGACUGCACCUCUCUCCAUGCAGAAGCUACUUCUCGGCAGAUUUUGUAUUGGAAAAGGCUUCCAUCAACCUUCCCAAGUGUCUCUCUCAGAUGGUUAAUAUGGUAUUAAAUCGCCUCAGUGAAAUGCAUACAAUCUCAGAAAUUCUAAACAAACACAUCACUGAGGAGAUGUAAAUCAUCAAUUCAAAGAACUCCUUAUUUGCUGAACAAACCAAGGAUGUUAUUUGCUUAGCUUUAUACUGACAAGCACUUGUCAGACUGUUUUUUGAGAGGUAUUCCUGCAGCUCAGUUGCUCUGAUGACUUGCCAGUUGCACAGUCUCCUCAAUGUCCAAGCUCUGCACUGCAUCUCUACUUCAGAAUUAAUUUUGGGGCGGAAAAAGACAACUCUGUAGCAAACUCCUUUCUAGGAUAGCUUUCAGUCACAGCAGGAACAGCACUUACAGUUUGAUCUCAUACACCCUGGCUUUGCUGGAGAAGCUCCUGGCAUGUUAUGUGAAGAGCUGGUUUCCGGAGAGCAUUGCCCUCGCACCCUGGAAGCCAACAGGAGAGGAACUAUGAUGUUAUAAAAAACAGUGCAGUUUAAGCAAAAUAAUUGAACAUUUGAUAUCUUUCUUUCUCUGAACUGUGUUUAUAACAGAACAAUUGACUCCCAACCUUUUCCAUGGGAGAUGAGUGUAAGACUACCCCAGCUGCCUGAAACCUCCACUCCCAGCGCAGGGAAUUAGAUUAAAAAUAUCAGCAUUCUUUAAAAAAAAAAAAAAAAGACAAUGGAAAAAAACCCAAACCAAACCGAACAGGUGCAAAACUAGCGUUGGGAUGAUGUGAAGGGCACUUCUGUGAGAAGGCUCAUGUUGUGGGCUCAUGCUAGCACACCCUACAGUAAUGUAAACGGAAAAGUAACCUUUGCUUACAGCAGGAAGACUUCAGACUGCCAUUGGAUACCUCUGCAUUUCCCCAGGCACUACUCUCAGGGAGCAGGGGGCUGAAUUUUGUCAAAAUGACCUAUUUGUGAUGAAGAGCCAGAUGGCCUCAAAGCAGGUGUGAUUUAGUAAAACGUUGUGUGUUCCCUCCUCAACAGUCUUCGCAGGGUUUAGUUUGCUGUUUGCUUUCAAUCCUAAUGAGAAAAGCAGGAAUUGCACUGGUGGCUUUGGGGAGAGCCAAGGAUCUCUCUGGUGCCCCAUUUACCACUAAGCACUUGGGACCAUCAUCCUCAGCAACUGAGCCCUGCACCAUCCACAGCUCACAGCGCUUUCCCCAGCACCAGCAUCUUUGUAGGGGGCUCAUUCUCACAGGUGUUGCCUAGAAUUAGGUGGAAACAGGCAGCCUGAGCAGGGUGCCCUGUGCCGAAUUUAUAUGCAACAGAACUAACUCUCAUGGUCUAUGAAGUGCAAUCUGCCACUGAAGUAUGGAAAAACAUUCACUCCUCUGCAACUUCAAAGGCUGCGAUAAGGUCAGAGAUGUACGGAGCACAUGCUUUCUGUAGCCACGGACUACCGGGAGUGCUUCACCUCUCUCUGUAGACCUUCUGUCCCUGCUGGGUUGCCCCUCCACAUCACUGCCGAGGUGCAGGAUGCUUUGCUUAGGUGCGUGAACAUGACGGUUUUCUCCAUGUUGAGAUCCACAGCUUCUCUGUGCAAAAGUUGUGUUGCCAAUAGGUGGCAUACUUCUCCUGCCUCUGGGGACUGAAAAGGCUUGCUGCGUGUCUGAACUAGGUCUGAUCAAAUGCUGAUAGCUGUUCAGUUCAGCACACACACUAUCUUUCUCUGUUAGAGCUCUCUAUGCAGGAGGUAAUUAAUUAGUUCUCUGAUGUGUGACUUGGACACUUCCUGCUCUUCUGCGAACUUGACAGAGAGUGUGGAAUAAUGUCCUCAAAGUGCUGUAGGGAGUAACUAAAGUCCAUAUAGAAAUAUCCAGGUUAUAUAUCUCAUGGCACUUUUGUAAAUUAAACCUUUUGGCAUGAAGAACAGCACCCCACUUGCAAUAAAAUAAACAGUUUUUAAGAAACCCGUGUUAACCAAGGUCUCUGCUGGAACUUAGCCUUGAAUGUAUUGUUGUCUUCAGUAGAGCUGUACACAGAGCACACAGUUAAGCAUAUCUGUAAUUCCAGUCUUUGCACAUUCACUGAAACAAAGUCGUAAUUGCACAGACCUAUUGGCAGGAUAAAGAUUCCAAUUUUGACCUGAAGAGAAAACUGUGGUUUUAGUUGUUAGUUUCCACAGGGAAAAACAAAAACAAAAACCCAAACAGAUUGCUUAUUGUUUCAUUAUUCAGCAGUUUCUCAUCUUGUCUUUUCAGCAAUCUGUUUCUUUGGUCUGGAAUAAAUAAGCAGAGCGCUUUUCAGAAACAUACUAUUUUAUCUAACUUUGUUUCCAAUGCUGGGAGGUGAAUUUUAGCACUCACUUUGGCAUAGCCAGAAUUAAGCUAAUGCUGAGUAUAUUCCAAAACCCUGCUGAGGACCUGGUAACAUCACUGAGUUCUCAGGUAGCUACUUAGGCAACAGCAGUGCCCAACAGACAAUAUUCUCUGUUUUCUCCCAUGUAUGUCUGUCCUUGCACAACCGAUUUUCCUUCCAGAAGUCAAAGCAGACAGAUUGCCUAGUUGAUAACUAGAAAUGAAAUAAAAUGAGUUUCAUUUCCUUUGGGGAAAAAAAAAAAUUAAAAGCAAUACAUUACAUAGAAAUUCCAUUGGAAGCCUAUUCCAAAUUUCAGCUUCUCCACACAUUUUUAGUUCCACUGUUACUUUUUUGUUGAAUUUUAUGACCAGCUUGAUUAUGAAGUUUUCUCUUUGUGGGUGGUGAGAUAAAAUGACUUAAGUCCAUGUCAGUGGAAUUUCAGUUUGUUACCACAUGGUACAAUAACUUCGUGUUUUGUCCAAAGAACAGAAAAUUCAGUUCAAAGUUUCAUGAAUAAAUGCCCUGAAAGCUGAUAAAAACACAUCUUAU
ensembl:lncRNA